rnacentral:tRNA from 1 species
GCUUCUGAAGGAUAAUAGUCAUCCGUUGGUCUUAGGAACCAGAAACUCUUGGUGCAACCCAAGCAGAAGCU